rnacentral:lncRNA from 1 species
CAUAUUCAAGGCAUUCACAUUUUCAACUGAUUUCAAAGAUAAACCACCAGCAGGGGGCGAAAGAGUGUAUGCAUUGUGGAACCCAUCAUUAGCUUGUGUUUCCCUGGGGGAACAUAUAUACUGGUGCACCUUUGUGAUAGCAGGUGGUGAAAUGUUUGGUGAAAAAGCAUUUCACUGGAAGUCCUUCAUGGAAGAGGAGACUCUCUUUCAUACACAUUCAGCUCAUUUAGGAUCCUGGAGACUCAACCGGUUCCUGAAUGCACCCUGCCUGGUUGCCAGGCGACGAAGCUAGGCGGGAGAACUCUUGAUUACCCGCACCUGCAUCUCAUCAGCCAUCUGCACACCUGGUCCUGAUCAUCACCUCUUCUCUUCAUAAGCCCUGACCUGACAUCCAUUCCCUGCCGGAUUGUUAGCAAUGAACAUCAUCCUCCCGGAACAUUCAACUCCCCUGCCUGGCCGUCGGUGGUUUCAGUGACAUCAUUGGAUCUGCCUAUUCACUCUCAUCAACUCACCUCCGCUGCCGCUCCGUCUUCUGGAUUAUUCUUUUUUCACCUCAAGACUGUAAAUAAAUACUCACCUUGUCCUGGUCUGCUUCUGGGUUCAGCUUUAGAGAAUCGUG